rnacentral:rRNA from 1 species
AUUGAACGCUGGCGGCAUGCCUUACACAUGCAAGUCGAACGGCAGCGGACCUUCGGGUGCCGGCGAGUGGCGAACGGGUGAGUAAUAUAUCGGAACGUACCUUUCAGUGGGGGAUAACGUAGCGAAAGUUACGCUAAUACCGCAUAUUCUGUGAGCAGGAAAGCAGGGGAUCGCAAGACCUUGCGCUGAUUGAGCGGCCGAUAUCAGAUUAGCUAGUUGGUGAGGUAAAGGCUCACCAAGGCGACGAUCUGUAGCGGGUCUGAGAGGAUGAUCCGCCACACUGGAACUGAGACACGGUCCAGACUCCUACGGGAGGCAGCAGUGGGGAAUCUUGGACAAUGGGCGCAAGCCUGAUCCAGCCAUGCCGCGUGAGUGAAGAAGGCCUCGGUUG